rnacentral:rRNA from 1 species
AGAUUGAACGCUGGCGGCGUGCCUAACACAUGCAAGUCGCACGAGAAAGGGGAGCAAUCCCUGAGUAAAGUGGCGCACGGGUGAGUAACACGUGAAUCAUCUACCUCCGAGUGGGGAAUAACCUAGAGAAAUCUGGGCUAAUACCGCAUAACACUUACGAGUCAAAGCAGCAAUGCGCUUGGAGAGGAGUUCGCGGCCGAUUAGUUAGUUGGCGGGGUAAUGGCCCACCAAGACGAUGAUCGGUAUCCGGCCUGAGAGGGGCGCGACGGACGACGACUGGAACUGAAACACGGUCCAGACUCCUACGGGAGGCAGCAGUGGGGAAUUUUGCGCAAUGGGGGAAACCCUGACGCAGCAACGCCGCGUGGAGGAUGAAAUAUCUUGGUAUGUAAACUCCUUUCGAUGGGGAAGAUUAUGACGGUACCCAUAGAAGAAGCCCCGGCUAACUUCGUGCCAGCAGCCGC